rnacentral:rRNA from 1 species
UACGGAGGAUUCGAGCGUUAUCCGGAUUUAUUGGGUUUAAAGGGUGCGUAGGCGGACUGGUAAGUCAGCUGUGAAAGUUUACGGCUCAACCGUGAAAUUGCAGUGGAUACUGUUGGUCUUGAGUAUACAUGAGGUGAGCGGAAUUUGUGGUGUAGCGGUGAAAUGCUUAGAUAUCAGAAAGAACUCCAAUUGCGAAGGCAGCACACUGGGCUAUAACUGACGCUGAUGCACGAAGGCGUGGGUAGCAAACAGG